UGAGGAAUAUUGGUCAAUGGGCGGGAGCCUGAACCAGCCAAGUCGCGUGAAGGAAGAAGGAUCUAUGGUUCGUAAACUUCUUUUGCAGGGGAAUAAAGUGCAGGACGUGUCCUGUUUUGUAUGUACCCUGAGAAUAAGGAUCGGCUAACUCCGUGCCAGCAGCCGCGGUAAUACGGAGGAUCCGAGCGUUGUCCGGAUUUAUUGGGUUUAAAGGGUGCGUAGGUGGUUUGAUAAGUCAGCGGUGAAAGUUUGCAGCUUAACUGUAAAAAUGCCGUGGAAACUGUCGGACUUGAGUGUAAAUGAGGUAGGCGGAAUGCGUGGUGUAGCGGUGAAAUGCAUAGAUAUCACGCAGAACUCCGAUUACGAAGGCAGCUUACUAAGCUACAACUGACACUGAAGCACGAAAGCGUGGGGA
rnacentral:rRNA from 1 species